AAGUCGUAACAAGGUUUCCGUAGGUGAACCUGCGGAAGGAUCAUUACAGAGUUCAUGCCCUCACGGGUAGAUCUCCCACCCUUGAAUAUUAUACCUUUGUUGCUUUGGCAGGCCGUGGAAACACCAUGGGCUCCGGCUUAUGCGUGCCUGCCAGAGGAAACAAACUCUGUUUUUAGUGAUGUCUGAGUACUAUAUAAUAGUUAAAA
rnacentral:misc_RNA from 1 species